GACGAACGCUGGCGGCGUGCUUAACACAUGCAAGUCGAACGGAAAGGCCCUGCUUUUGUGGGGUGCUCGAGUGGCGAACGGGUGAGUAACACGUGAGUAACCUGCCCUUGACUUUGGGAUAACUUCAGGAAACUGGGGCUAAUACCGGAUAGGAGCUCCUGCUGCAUGGUGGGGGUUGGAAAGUUUCGGCGGUUGGGGAUGGACUCGCGGCUUAUCAGCUUGUUGGUGGGGUAGGGGCUUACCAAGGCUUUGACGGGUAGCCGGCCUGAGAGGGUGACCGGGGACAAGGGGGCGAAGGGAGGCACCAGGAGCGUACGGGGGGCAACAGGCGGGAGUCUGGCGGAGCAGGCCGGAGCGAGAGACGACGGCGUUGGGAGCGGAAAAACGGGCUAUGGGUGGAAAACCAAUGUGGCCUGAGACGAACCGUGAGUGACGGUACUGGGUAAGAAAGCAACGGCUAACUACGUG
rnacentral:rRNA from 1 species